UACGUAGGGUGCAAGCGUUAAUCGGAAUUACUGGGCGUAAAGCGUGCGCAGGCGGUUGUGCAAGACCGAUGUGAAAUCCCCGGGCUUAACCUGGGAAUGGCAUUGGUGACUGCACGGCUAGAGUGUGUCAGAGGGGGGUAGAAUUCCACGUGUAGCAGUGAAAUGCGUAGAGAUGUGGAGGAAUACCGAUGGCGAAGGCAGCCUUCUGGGCCAACACUGACGCUCAUGCACGAAAGCGUGGGGAGCAAACAGG
rnacentral:rRNA from 1 species